UACGUAGGGUGCAAGCGUUAAUCGGAAUUACUGGGCGUAAAGCGUGCGCAGGCGGUUAUAUAAGACAGUUGUGAAAUCCCCGGGCUCAACCUGGGAAUGGCGAUGAAGACUGCAAGGCUAGAAUCUGGCAGAGGGGGGUAGAAUUCCACGUGUAGCAGUGAAAUGCGUAGAGAUGUGGAGGAACACCGAUGGCGAAGGCAGCCCCCUGGGUCAAGAUUGACGCUACAU
rnacentral:rRNA from 1 species